CAUAUCACUGUCAUUAGUAUAAUAUGACCCUAGCAGGUACUGAGCACAUAAACAUAUCACUGUCAUUAGUAUAAUAUGGCCCUAGCAGGUACUGAGCCCAUAAACAUAUCACUGUCAUUAGUACAAUAUGACCCUAGCAGGUACUGAGCCCAUAAACAUAUCACUGUCAUUAGUAUAGUAUGGCACUAGCAGGUACUGAGCCCAUAAACAUAUCACACUCAUUAGUAUAAUAUGACCCUAGCAGGUACUGAGCCCAUAAACAUAUCACACUCAUUAGUAUAAUAUGACCCUAGCAGGUACUGAGCCCAUAAACAUAUCACUGUCAUUAGUAUAAUAUGACCCUAGCAGGUACUGAGCCCAUAAACAUAUCACUGUCAUUAGUAUAAUAUGACCCUAGCAGGUACUGAGCCCAUAAACAUAUCACUGUCAUUAGUAUAAUAUGGCACUAGCAGGUACUGAGCCCAUAAACAUAUCACUGUCAUUAGUAUAAUAUGACCCUAGCAGGUACUGAGCCCAUAAACAUAUCACACUCAUUAGUAUAAUAUGACCCUAGCAGGUAUUGAGCCCAUAAACAUAUCACUGUCAUUAGUAUAAUAUGACCCUAGCAGGUACUGAGCCCAUAAACAUAUCACUGUCAUUAGUAUAAUAUGACCCUAGCAGGUACUGAGCCCAUAAACAUAUCACUGUCAUUAGUAUAAUAUGGCCCUAGCAGGUACUGAGCUUAUAAACAUAUCACUGUCAUUAGUAUAAUAUGGCCCUAGCAGGUACUGAGCCCAUAAACAUAUCACUGUCAUUAGUAUAAUAUGGCCCUAGCAGGUACUGAGCCCAUAAACAUAUCACUGUCAUUAGUAUAA